UGGGUAACGUGCCCCAAUGAUCGGGACAACCCGGGGAAACCCGGGCUAAUACCGAAUGUGCUCCCCUCACAUCAGUGAGUGGUGAAAAGGAAGCUUCGGCCUCCGCAUUGGGAUCGGCCCGCGGCCCAUUAGCUUGUUGGUGAGGUAAGGCUCACCAAGGCUGCGAUGGGUANCUGGUCUGAGAGGACGAUCAGCCACACGUGGGACUGAGACACGGCCCAGACUCCUACGGAAGCAG
rnacentral:rRNA from 1 species